GAUGAACGCUAGCUACAGGCUUAACACAUGCAAGUCGAGGGGAAACGACAUCGAAAGCUUGCUUUUGAUGGGCGUCGACCGGCGCACGGGUGAGUAACGCGUAUCCAACCUGCCCAUCACUUGGGGAUAACCUUGCGAAAGUAAGACUAAUACCCAAUGAUAUCUCUAGAAGACAUCUGAAAGAGAAUAAAGAUUUAUCGGUGAUGGAUGGGGAUGCGUCUGAUUAGCUUGUUGGCGGGGUAACGGCCCACCAAGGCGACGAUCAGUAGGGGUUCUGAGAGGAAGGUCCCCCACAUUGGAACUGAGACACGGUCCAAACUCCUACGGGAGGCAGCAGUGAGGAAUAUUGGUCAAUGGACGAGAGUCUGAACCAGCCAAGUAGCGUGCAGGAAGACGGCCCUAUGGGUUGUAAACUGCUUUUAUAAGGGAAUAAAGUGAGUCUCGUGAGACUUUUUGCAUGUACCUUAUGAAUAAGGACCGGCUAAUUCCGUGCCAGCAGCCGCAGUAA
rnacentral:rRNA from 1 species